GUAUGGUUCCAUUUAUAUAAACAUUUUAAAACAAUAGCAUGGAGAAGAGAUUAGUAGUUGGCAGAGGUUAGGAAUGGGGUGUAUAUGUUUAGGGAGGUGGGUGUGGUUAUAAACUGGCAACACAAGGAUCCUUGUGAUAAUGGAACUGUUCAGUGUAUUAACUAUAGUAGUGGAUACAUAAACCCACACACGAUAAAACUGCACAGAAAUACACACACACACACACACACACACACAGGCAUGCACUCACACACUCAGAAGUAAGUACAAGAAAACUGAGUAAGAUGGGUAAAUUGUAUCAAUGUCAAUAUCCUGGUUGUGAUACUGUACUAUAGUUUUGCAAAAUGUUACCAUUGGGGGAAAUUGGGUAAAGGGUACAUGGGAGGUUGCUGUCUUAUUUCUUACAACUGCAUGUAAAUGUACAAUGACCUCAAUGAAAAUUUCAAAUAAAAACUAUGAAAUAUUUCAAACCAUCCAGGCAAAUACAGAAAAUAAUUUAAUAAUUUAUAUACCCAUGACCCAAAUCAGCAGAAACUAACUUUGCUUUGUUUCAGGUUUAAAAACAAAACAAAACAAACAAAACAAAAAACACACACCUAAAUACAAGCUCAUCCUGCCAUCAUCCUUCCCAGAGGGUAAUGUGUUUUAAUGUAUGAUUGCACUUUUACUAUAGACAUCAAAAAGGAGGGGAGUGUUCUUCUGCGUGCUUUCUAUGGAGUGGAAUGAUGAAGAUUGUAGGUUAAGCCAGAAUGCUUUGUUCCAAUGUUGACUAUGCCACUAGCUAACUUGGGCAGGUGACUUUACCACUCUGUGCCUUAGCUCCUCAUCCACAUAAUAGAGAUAACAGUUCCCACAUCAUAAAGCUGUUUUUUUGUUGUUGUUUUUGUUUUUUUUCAAUUGUGGUUGGGUGUGGUGGCCACUUCUGUAAUCCCAGCACUUUGGGAGGCUGAGGUGGGCAGAUCACUUGAGCCCAGGAGUUCAAGACCAGCCUGGGGCAACAUGGCAACACCCCAUCUAUCCAAAAAUAUCAAAAAAUUAGCCAAGUGUUGUGGUGUGUGCCUGUGGUCUCAGCUACCUAGGAGGCUACAUGGGAAAAUCGCUUGAGCCUGGAAGGUUGAGGCUGCAGUCAGCCAUGAUCGUGCCACUGCACUCCAGCCA
rnacentral:lncRNA from 10 species